rnacentral:tRNA from 2 species
CAGGGUGUAGCUAAGUAGACUAGCAUCUCCUUUACACUGAGAGGAUGCCCGUGCAAUUCGGGCCACCCUGA